rnacentral:rRNA from 1 species
UGAGGUAAGGGCAAUUGGUGGAUGCCUUGGCACCAG